rnacentral:lncRNA from 1 species
ACUCGCUGCCCAUCAUGGCGGCGGCCGGGGUCACCUAGCCCUCCGCAGUCACCGAUCCGGCGGACUCAUUCCUAAAGUUGAUUUCUUAUAAACAACACAUAGCAUACCUUGAAGAUAUUGUGGGUCCAGCUCCAGAACCCUGCAAUAAAGUGAAUAUCACAAUAAACUGCAAGUUGUAAUGGAAAGCGCACCUCUCUGGAACUCGGGAGUCUUGGAUCCUACACAUGGUUCUAUGCAUAAAUAGAAAUGAAAUUAGCUUCCUGGAUACUAAGCUAGUAUUAAUCAGGUGAUUCUAAUUAAAAUCACUCUGCUAGCUAAACACUAUUCAGCAAGAUUUUGGUUACCCCAAGAACAUUCUGAGACAAUUGUAUCUAUAAUUGAUAAGACUUGACAAUAAUCUUUCUUCCUGAAGUGUGUUGUUAACUUUUUGGUUGACUCUUAGCAAAGUACAUAGCAUAUAGUAGGCAUUCAAUAAAUGUUCAUUCAUUUUUUGCAU